rnacentral:tRNA from 1 species
ACUUUUAAAGGAAAAUACCAAUCCGGUGGUUUUAGGAACCAAAACUCUUGGUGCAAAUCCAAGUAAAAGUAAUG